UACGUAGGUGGCAAGCGUUGUCCGGAUUUACUGGGCGUAAAGGGCGUGCAGGCGGUCUGUUAAGUGCAGGGUGAAAGCUCCCGGCUCAACUGGGAGAGGUCCUUGCAUACUGUCGGACUUGAGGGGGGUAGAGGAAAGUGGAAUUCCCGGUGUAGUGGUGAUAUGCGUAGAUAUCGGGAGGAACACCUGUGGCGAAGGCGGCUUUCUGGGCCCUACCUGACGCUGAGACGCGAAAGCGUGGGGAGCGAACCGG
rnacentral:rRNA from 1 species